UCCCCUUCGGGGGACAGAGUGACAGGUNCCCUGCAUGGUUGUCGUCAGCUCGUGUCGUGAGAUGUUGGGUUAAGUCCCGCAACGAGCGCAACCCUUGAUCUUAGUUGCCAGCAUUUAGUUGGGCACUCUAAGGUGACUGCCGGUGACAAACCGGAGGAAGGUGGGGAUGACGUCAAAUCAUCAUGCCCCUUAUGACCUGGGCUACACACGUGCUACAAUGGAUGGUACAAAGGGCUGCAAGACCGCGAGGUCAAGCCAAUCCCAUAAAACCAUUCUCAGUUCGGAUUGUAGGCUGCAACUCGCCUACAUGAAGCUGGAAUCGCUAGUAAUCGCGGAUCAGCAUGCCGCGGUGAAUACNUUCCCGGGCCUUGUACACACCGCCCGUCACACCACGAGAGUUUGUAACACCC
rnacentral:rRNA from 2 species